GCUUCAGUAUGAGCCCAAUUGCAUUAAAAUUGCACAUUUUGUUAAGGGCGCAAGUUGUGAUAAAUACUGAAACACCAGUACUUAUCUCGCUUUCUACAUAAUUGCUACCACUGGAUUAGGCUGCUUUCCUUGGUUCACAAGUUAGUCAUGUUCUGCUUGUCGAGAAAAUUUUAAACGGUUUUGAACUGUUAUGUGCAGUUAUGCUGUCUUAAAAUUCUUAUUCAUGUGCAUCCAUGCAGGAGAGAAGAACCAGAAUUAGUGGGAAACUGAAGAAGCUACAAGAACUUGUUCCGAACAUGGAUAAGCAAACAAGCUACGCAGAUAUGCUGGACUUGGCAGUGCAACACAUCAAAGGCCUUCAAAAUCAAGUGCAGAAACUCCAUAAAGAACUUGGGAAUUGCACAUGUGGCUGCAAGCAAACAUCAUGACAUCUGCUAAUAGGGAAUCGAGACGCAAGUCGUUCUUGAUUCAUGGAGUUCGAAGGUAAUGGACUCAGACCAGUGGAGGCAAAUUUUAUAGUCUGAACAAACCUGACUUAAUAGCUCGAAGUAGAGAAGUAGAACUUUACAUUGUAUAUAUGUAUUAAAUGUUACUCUUGUUUUGUAGUUCAUCUGAGAAAGGAGUUGUUUAAACUGUGAAAAUGUAUGUAAAAUUCGGUCAUCUUAUACCCCUGAUUUUGAUUCAUCACAAUAAGUCCGGUGGACAAAAGUGUAAUAUUUAUGGAUUUUGUUAGCAAA